UUAUGGCCAUAUCACAUUGAAACAUUGGUUCUCAUAUGAUCACUGUAGUUAAGCAACAUCAAACCUGAUCAGUACCUAGAUGGAUGACCACUUGGAAUAUCAGGUGCUGGAA